GGGGGUUGAAGACCCUCUCUCAUGUAUAGGAGCAAUUAUCGGAAACAACGGGGGAUCGGUUUUUGUAACCUACUAUGUACAGUUUUUCACAUCUUCGCAACCCUAUAUACAACCCCACGUCUACCCUCAUCCCUGUCUCUUCUACAAUCGUUUCUAAUUGCUAUCUUCACAUGGAGAUACUUCUCAAUUCUCAUUAUACCCUAAUCGGCGAUCAACACCAACAAUACUCCAUACGCCAUUGCGUCUUCCACUCUUCACCAAAAAAGUUGAAUAAUAAUUUCGAAAUGCUGAAGUGAAGAACCCUCUGCCAGGCUUUUUUUAUUGCAAUACGAUUGACGAAGAUGUUUCUUUCUCAAAAAUCAUUGGCUCAAAAGCUUCAAAUCGAUGCCCUUGUCUGAUGCUCAGGUAUAAUUAGGGUUUGUUCAUUUUAGCCCCUUGUGAUUUCUGUUUUUUAAUUUCGUUUCUGUUUAUCGUUCUUGGGUUGUUCAAUUUGUGUUAUAAAACUUUGAUUACAAGCAGUCCAGAAGAAGCUUCUGGGUGGAUACAUGUAGUUGCAGCGGCAACAGGUUGGGGGGAUGACAAGUGGACCUGGAUAGCGGAUUCCAGGCAGUUUUCGGUGAUAAGAGCUCCGCUCACCGUCUGCGUCAUUUCAUCUUGACACUCUUCACGAUUCAGGUGACAGAUGAGUGUCAAAAAUUUUGGUUUUUCAUGAAGAGGCAGAUAGUACUUAACAUUGGCCUUAUCCUAACGAAAGCCUUAACUAGGUUUCAGGUCAUAUUGCUACCUCCAGUAAUACAGGUCGUCUGCAACCCAACUUCUAUAGCAGGAAAAAACAAGCUCAAUUUGGUUGUCGGAACCAACUCAGCUGCACAUUUCCAAGAAUUACCUUGAUUAUUUUCUGUUUACAAUGUGCAAA